rnacentral:rRNA from 1 species
UUAAGGGCGUAUGGUGGAUGCCUUGGCUCUGAGAGGCGACGAAGGACGUGGUAAGCUGCGAUAAGCUGCGGGGAGCUGCACACAAGCGUUAUAUCCGCAGAUUUCCGAAUGGGACAACCCGGCACACUGAAGGUGUGUCACUCCGCAAGGAGAGCCAACCCAGGGAACUGAAACAUCUAAGUACCUGGAGGAAAAGAAAACAAUAGUGAUUCCCCAAGUAGUGGCGAGCGAAAAGGGAACAGCCCAAACUUCAGCAGCGUGCUGCUGGAGGGUUGUAGGACUGCAUUUAGAAACCAAUCUCAAGCUGAAUCUUCUGGAAAGUUGAACCAUAGAAGGUGAUAGUCCUGUAGGCGCAAAUGAUUGGGGACGAGCAGUAUCCUGAGUAAGGCGGGACCGGAGGAAUCCUGCCUGAAUCUGCCGGCACCAUCCGGUAAGGCUAAAUACUCCUCAGAGACCGAUAGUGAACCAGUACCGUAAGGGAAAGGUGAAAAGCACCCUAAACAAGGGAGUGAAAUAGUACCUGAAACCGUACGCUUACAAGCGGUCGGAGCCCAGCAAUGGGUGACGGCGUGCCUUUUGCAUAAUGAACCUACGAGUUGCUCCUCACUGGCGAGGUUAAGCUAUUGAAUAGCGGAGCCGUAGCGAAAGCGAGUCCGAAUAGGGCGAUUAGUCAGUGGGGGCAGACGCGAAACUUUGUGAUCUAUCCAUGGGCAGGUUGAAGGUUAGGUAAAACUAACUGGAGGACCGAACUCAUUAACGUUGAAAAGUUAUGGGAUGACCUGUGGAUAGGGGUGAAAGGCCAAUCAAACUGAGAGAUAGCUCGUUCUCCCCGAAAUGUUUUUAGGAACAGCGUCACAUAUAGAAGUAUGAUAGAGGUAGAGCUACUGAUUGGGCUAGGGGGCUUCACCGCCUACCAAACCCUGACAAACUCCGAAUGCUAGCAAAUUUCUCCGGGAGUGAGGCUGCGGGUGCUAAGAUCCGUGGCCGAGAGGGAAAUAACCCAGAUUAGCAGCUAAGGUCCCUAAGCGUAUGUUAAGUUGAUCAAACGAGGUGGGGCUUCUAUAACAGCCAGGAUGUUGGCUUGGAAGCAGCCAUUCAUUUAAAGAGUGCGUAACAGCUCACUGGUCGAGAGGCCCUGCACGGAAAAUGAUCGGGCAUCAAACAUACCACCGAAGCUCUAAAAUCUAUAGCAAUAUAGAUUGGUAGGGGAGCAUUCCAAUCUGCUGCGAAGGUGAUAGGCGACUAUUGCUGGAGCGUUUGGAAAAGAAAAUGUAGGUAUAAGUAGCGAUAAAAGUAGUGAAAAACUACUUCACCGUAAGACUAAGGGUUCCUGAUCAACGUUAAUCGGAUCAGGGUUAGUCGGGUCCUUAGGCAAACCCGAAAGGGGUAGCUGAUGGAAAACUGGUUAAUAUUCCAGUACCUGCUUUAGUUUCGAUGGGGUGACGAGGUAGUGAAAGGCCCGCCCGGUAACGGUAUACCGGGUUAAAGCGUGUAGUUAUAUCCUGUACAGGUAAAUCCGUAUGGGAUGGCGAACGUGAUAGUACCUGGAGGCUUCGGCUGAAGGGAUAGUGGCCCUAAUCAAACCUCCAAGAAAAACCUCUAAGGCAUGGCUAAAGCGGCCCGUACCGCAAACCGACACAGGUAGUCGAGGCGAAUAGCCUAAGGUGCUCGGGUGAGCCGCGGAGAAGGAACUAGGCAAAUUGUGGCUGUAACUUCGGGAUAAAGCCAGCCGGUCAGCAAUGCCCGGCCUCAGUAAAAUGGUUCAACCAACUGUUUAACAAAAACACAGGGCCCUGCAAAAUCGUAAGAUGACGUAUAGAGCCUGAUACCUGCCCGGUGCUGGAAGGUUAAGGAAGGGUGUUCGGCGCAAGCCAAAGCUCCUGACUGAAGCCCCAGUAAACGGCGGCCGUAACUAUAACGGUCCUAAGGUAGCGAAAUUCCUUGUCGGGUAAGUUCCGACCUGCACGAAUGGUCUAAUGAGUUGAACACUGUCUCCUCCACGAGCCCGGUGAAAUUGUAGUAUCGGUGAAGAUGCCGGUUACCCGUCACGGGACGGAAAGACCCCGUGAACCUUCACUACAACUUUGCAUUGAUUUUGAGCAAACGAUGUGUAGAAUAGUUGGGACGCUUUGAAGCGGUGCCGCCAGGUGCCGUGGAGCGGUCGUUGAAAUACCAACCUUCGUUUGCUUAGAGUCUAAUCCCUAACGGGAAACAGUGCAUGGUGGGUAGUUUGACUGGGGUGGUCGCCUCCUAAAAAGUAACGGAGGCUCGCAAAGGUUCCCUCAGUACGGUUGGUAAUCGUACAUAGAGCGUAUUAGUAUAAGGGAGCUUGACUGUGAGACAGACAAGUCUAGCAGGUGCGAAAGCAGGCUAAAGUGAUCCGGUGGUUCUGUAUGGAAGGGCCAUCGCUCAAAGGAUAAAAGGUACUCCGGGGAUAACAGGCUGAUCUCCCCCAAGAGCUCAUAUCGACGGGGAGGUUUGGCACCUCGAUGUCGGCUCGUCACAUCCUGGGGCUGGAGAAGGUCCCAAGGGUUCGGCUGUUCGCCGAUUAAAGUGGCACGUGAACUGGGUUCAGAACGUCGCAAGACAGUUCGGUCCCUAUCUGUGAUGGGCGUUAGAAUAUUGAGUGGACAUGACCUUAGUACGAGAGGACCGGGUCGUACGGACCGCUGGUGUAUCUGUUGUGCCGCCAGGUGCAGCGCAGAGUAGCUAUGUCCGGCCAGGAUAAACGCUGAAAGCAUCUAAGCGUGAAACCUUCCACGAGAUGAGUAUUCUUUUAAGGGUCGUAGUAGACGACUACGUUGAUAGGCUACAGGUGUAAAGCUGGUAACAGCAAAGCCGAGUAGUACUAAUUACCCGUACGCUUUAAUU